ACACAUGCAAGUCGAGGGGCAGCGGGGUGUAGCAAUACACUGCCGGCGACCGGCGCACGGGUGCGUAACGCGUAUGCAACCUACCCAUAACAGGGGCAUAACACUGAGAAAUUGGUACUAAUUCCCCAUAACAUUCGAAGAGGCAUCUCUUUGGGUUGAAAACUCCGGUGGUUAUGGAUGGGCAUGCGUUGUAUUAGCUAGUUGGUGAGGUAACGGCUCACCAAGGCGACGAUACAUAGGGGGACUGAGAGGUUAACCCCCCACAUUGGUACUGAGACACGGACCAAACUCCUACGGGAGGCAGCAGUGAGGAAUAUUGGUCAAUGGACGCAAGUCUGAACCAGCCAUGCCGCGUGCAGGAUGACGGCUCUAUGAGUUGUAAACUGCUUUUGUACGAGGGUAAACUCACCUACG
rnacentral:rRNA from 1 species